rnacentral:rRNA from 1 species
GAUGAACGCUGGCGGCGUGCCUAAUACAUGCAAGUCGAGCGAACGGACGAGAAGCUUGCUUCUCUGAUGUUAGCGGCGGACGGGUGAGUAACACGUGGAUAACCUACCUAUAAGACUGGGAUAACUUCGGGAAACCGGAGCUAAUACCGGAUGAUAUUUUGAACCGCAUGGUUCAAAAGUGAAAGACGGUCUUGCUGUCACUUAUAGAUGGAUCCGCGCUGCAUUAGCUAGUUGGUAAGGUAACGGCUUACCAAGGCAACGAUGCAUAGCCGACCUGAGAGGGUGAUCGGCCACACUGGAAAUGAGACACGGUCCAGACUCCUACGGGAGGCAGCAGUAGGGAAUCUUCCGCAAUGGGCGGAAGCCUGAAGGAGCAACGCCGCGUGAGUGAUGAAGGUCUUCGGAUCGUAAAACUCUGUUAUUAGGGAAGAACAUAUGUGUAAGUAACUGUGCACAUCUUGACGUUACCUAAUCAGAAAGCCACGGCUAACUACGUG